UGGGGCGUAGUCGAGUUGGUAAGACGUCUGACUCUGGAUCAGAAGGUCGUAGGUUCGAGUCCUACCGCCCCAGCCA
rnacentral:tRNA from 1 species